UACGAAGGGGACUAGCGUUGUUCGGAAUCACUGGGCGUAAAGCGCACGUAGGCGGAUGUGUCAGUCAGGGGUGAAAUCCCGGGGCUCAACCUCGGAACUGCCUUUGAUACAGCACGUCUCGAGUCCGGAAGAGGUGGGUGGAAUUCCUAGUGUAGAGGUGAAAUUCGUAGAUAUUCGGAGGAACACCAGUGGCGAAGGCGGCUCACUGGUCCGGCACUGACGCUGAGGUGCGAAAGCGUGGGGAGCAAACAGG
rnacentral:rRNA from 1 species